AGUGAACGCUGGCGGUAGGCCUAACACAUGCAAGUCGAACGGCAGCACAGUAAGAGCUUGCUCUUACGGGUGGCGAGUGGCGGACGGGUGAGGAAUACAUCGGAAUCUACUUUUUCGUGGGGGACAACGUAGGGAAACUUACGCUAAUACCGCAUACGACCUACGGGUGAAAGCAGGGGAUCUUCGGACCUUGCGCGAUUGAAUGAGCCGAUGUCGGAUUAGCUAGUUGGCGGGGUAAAGGUCCACCAAGGGGACGAUCCGUAGCUGGUCUGAGAGGAUGAUCAGCCACACUGGGACUGAGACACGGUCCAGACUCCUACGGGAGGCAGCAGUGGGGAAUAUUGGGCAAUGGGCGCAAGCCUGAUCCAGCCAUGCCGCGUGGGUGAAGAAGGCCUUCGGGUUGUAAAGCCCUUUUGUUGGGAAAGAAAAGCAGCAGGUUAAUACCCCGCUGUUCUGACGGUACCCAAAGAAUAAGCACCGGCUAACUUCGUG
rnacentral:rRNA from 1 species